GACGAACGCUGGCGGCGUGCUUAACACAUGCAAGUCGAACGGUAAGGCCCUUCGGGGUACACGAGUGGCGAACGGGUGAGUAACACGUGGGUGAUCUGCCCUGCACUUCGGGAUAAGCCUGGGAAACUGGGUCUAAUACCGGAUAGGACUCCUGGCUUCAUGGUUGGGGGUGGAAAGCUUUUGCGGUGUGGGAUGGGCCCGCGGCCUAUCAGCUUGUUGGUGGGGUAAUGGCCUACCAAGGCGACGACGGGUAGCCGGCCUGAGAGGGUGACCGGUCACACUGGGACUGAGAUACGGACCAGACUCCUACGGGAGGCAGCAGUGGGGAAUAUUGCACAAUGGGCGCAAGCCUGAUGCAGCGACGCCGCGUGAGGGAUGACGGCCUUCGGGUUGUAAACCUCUUUCAGCUAUGACGAAGCGCAAGUGACGGUAGUAGCAGAAGAAGGACCGGCCAACUACGUGCCAGCAGCCGCAGUAA
rnacentral:rRNA from 1 species